GAUCUCGGCUGGCAGUUUCUGAGCUCCGAGCGCUCGGCUUCUCUGUUUUUGCGCAGCGCCCUCAUUCUGCCAACCAAUCGUCGACGAGCACCACCCACUGAGCAAGUGCUUAUUGGCCAAACCGGCCGUCAAAUAGACACGUCACCGGGCAGCCAGGCCGGGCGGGACACAACCCGCGCCUGGGCUGCCCGGGUUGAGUGUGAGUGUGUGUGUGUGUGAGAGAGAACAGCCCCGCAGGUCCCGAGGCGCUGGCUGGGGACUCUGCCGCGGAAAGUUCCCAGUCCCCAGCCUCAGGAUAGGAAGAGUCCCUAGCGGCUUCUGCUAAUGAAUGACCCAAGAGUAACACCACCACAAUCUACGGGAAAUGAUCUGCAGGGUUGAAAUGAAAUGUUUUGAGCUCUUCAAGCUGACUCAUCAGAAUCCAGGAGCCUAGUGAAAAUGAUGGUAAUGUCCUAAGCCACUUCCUGCAACUACAUCCUUCCACCAUGAUGUCCUGCCUCACCUUGAGCUCCAAGGAAUGAAGCUGACCUUCUAUGGAUUGAGACCUCUGAAACUGUUCUUUCUCAGUUGCCCAGACUGGCCUUGAACUUGUCUUCUCCUGCCUCAGCUUUCAGAAUAGCUGUGAUUACAGGCAUUUUAGUGGAAGUUUGGAAGAUUCUGGCACAAACUAUUUUCGUAUCAUCAUUUUAAUGUUGCAUCAACUGUUUCAUCCUGAACCCACUGAAGUUGCCUGUUAGGAACUCCAGCAGGUGCCUAUGGAUUUGUAUGAGUCGUAUCUUAUCGAGACUCCUGGCAAACUUAAUUUGCAUCAGUUUGUAAUCAGAAUUGAGGCUUGUUUGAGUUUAGAUUCUGAAUUACCUAAAAUUAGUGCAAAAAUUCUGAUCUAAGAGUGUUUGUACAUUGUAUUAAUCUCCUUUGAAAGACUAACACAUUAUUACAUAUAUAUGUAUCAAAUAGCUUAAAAUAAUUCUGACAUUUUUAUGUCCCUCUACCUUGAAAAAAACUACAACUUGGUACUGAAGAAGUACUUUGUUAUUCUGUCUUUGUCCAUCUCUCUCUCUCUUUCUCUCUCGCCCUCAUUUAUUAAGUGCCUUAUGAGCAACUUGGUCAUGGUCCAUCACCUCUAAAUAUUUUUGUGGAGGACAUCCAUCAGUUACAUUAUUCCGAUUAAAUAUGUGUAUGGAGAUUAAAAAAAGAAAAUGUUCUUUAUUAUUUCAAAUGCCCUCCUAUCCCAUGUUUAAAUACACAGUGAGAUUCUGAUUCAGACAACUGCUUUAAAUCACUCUUAUUUUUUUCACUUUGGCAUUAGUAAGAAAAGUAAACAUUUUUUGGUAAUACAAAUGUUACAUCUCUGUAAACAUAGGAUGUAGUCUUUUAAAUUAAAUAUGUCAAAAUGAAUUAAAAUGAUGGACUAUUUUAGUUUGGUUAUUAAUUGAUUAGUAGUGCAUUUAACUAUUACUUUGAUUAUAUCAGUGACUCAUAAGCUUUGCCCUUUUUGUGGUCACUGGCAGCAUAGCUGAUUUUUAAAGGACUUUUUCUGGCUUCAUUGACUUUUGUAGUGAGCACAGUUCCUUUCGGUCACUUGCUCCCUUUGAUGAUAGUCUCUUUAUUGACUCAAUGAUGAAUAAUAUCCUCAGUAUUCAUAUUCAAGUACUCCAAACACAGAUGAACUGAGACACUGGAUCAGAUCCAUGGAAUACUUAACAUGCUUAAUUUUAACAAUUCAAAUGGUUAGAUGAUGCACUUAAGUUUGAAUUAAAUUUUCCAUCCAUGGAUUCAACAUGUUCUUCCAACUUAAAAAGAAAGCAGAAAGAGAGGUCCCUGCAAAUAUUAAAAAGAAAUAAAAUAACCAGAAAAGACCAAAAGAUCAAGAGAAAAGCAUCCUACAUGACCUUGAGUGGAUUUAUGUUUUUGAGCUAUACAUGGAUAAACAGAAACAGUAAUCAUAGUUCAUAUAUUACUAAGAACAAAGUAGACAUUAUUUAUCAUUGUUUCUAAUUAUGCAUUUUAAAAAUUGAUUUUAUUGCCUAUUGACUAUUUCAUAGGCCUAUCACAUUAGUAUAAAACUAGUUGUCCUGUUAAAACCAAUUAAAGUGUUUGAGUUAAAUCUUAAUUUGGAUGUAUAUCAAUUGCAGAAAUGUUCUAAAAAAUUUUUAUAUUUCCUCUUAAAUCAAAAUGUAUGAAUCUCAGAUACCAAAUACUAUUUAGUAUAUAAUUCUUUAGCACAUUAGAAAUUUUCUGGUCAAAUAUAAAUUUACUUCUCAUUUACAUUAUUAGUAAAAAAUAUGCAAAUGAUUUUUAGUGCAUCACAAUUUAUGGAAAUUUGUAAUUAACUGUGGCUAUCUUAUCCAUAGAACAUAAUCACAUUGUCAGUCUAUCUCUAAAAUACAAAGCUCUGUAUGUCAAUGUUCAAAUAUUCAAUGUGAAGAUAUUUGGAUAAAUAUUUUUUGAAUAAAUCUGGCCUUAAACUCAUAAAACUCAUUUCUUGUGUUCAAGAAAAGAAUAUUGAUACUUGUUGCAGAGGGCAAGACAAACUUUAUUCAGGGUGUAUGGGAAAUUGUCACCAUAGAUCUAGGGACCAUUGCAGUGGAAUAUUAAAGUGAGGGAGAAAGAUUGGGCUCAAAUCUAAAUCCAGUAUGGAUAAGUGGGAACUUACAGCCAAAA